rnacentral:lncRNA from 1 species
UUGAUCCCCUGGGGGACAUUUUACAUUCAAACCUCAGCCUGUGGGAUAGAUGCUCAGUUGGAAAGCAAGCGCCAAGGCAGAGCAGCUGGAGCUUGCGGUGAUGGGGCAGGCUGUUUCUUAGGGAGAUUGCUCUAAUCUAAGAGGGAGCAGGAAGCCAAAGCCGGGAGAAGAUAGAAGAACUGGGAAAAUAGAUCCUGUAAGAACAAAAGAGAAGCCAUUGAAAGAAGUAAAAGAAAGCAUCCUUCCAGGUUCUGGAGAUGCAACAGUGAGCAAAACAGAUGCCUAGCUCUCGUGGGAAGGAGACAGUAAGCCAACAGGCGGAUGAGCAUGUAAAAACAUCAGAAGAGACCACAGUUGGUAACGAGGCAAAGUCGGAGGUUAGAGACCGUGAGACCUGCAUUGAUCCAUACGUAUAGGAGUUCCUUGGCUCUUUGCUGUUGCAAAAAUGGCUGGGCAGAAAAGCAACAGUAAUGGUGGGAAGGUUUGUCCUGUAGUUCAAGGAGGGACAGUCUAUGGUGGCAUGGAAGUCCUGG